CGAGCAGGGAUUGAACCCAUGGUCCCCUGCAUUGCAAGACAGAUUCUUAACCAGAGGACCAGCAGGGAAGUCCCCUGCAUUCUCUUCUUUUAUAUUUUCAUCCCUCUACUAUCCUACGAGAGUUAAGUCCUCUCAACCAGAGGGUCAGGAGUAAGUGAUGAUAUUAAAUGGUCAAAGUAUUUCACUGUGUAAUUGCUUUCUUUCAUCUUAAAAAUUGCCUUCUCUUUCUUCCUAUGUGCAUGUUUGGCUAAGUAUGCUGUCAUUUUUAAUCUUUAUUCUUGAUGAGGCAAAGGAACCAGAAGCAAGGGGAAUGACAUUUAACAGCACAUUGUACCAGAGGAAAGGAAAAGCAAAUUUCAAAAAGGUGAGCUGGUGUGCUGAUCUGCUAUUUCUGGCUGCGAAUAAUGUCAUCAAAACAACAAAAUCCAGCCAGAAGUUACUGAAACAAUAGGAAAACCUUGUCAUCUAUGGAACAAGAAGUCUUAUGUUAGAUCAGUUUCAGAGUGUUUCAUUCAAGUGGCUUGAUGAUAUCAGUAAGGAACCAGUUUUCUGUUUUGUUUUUUUCUCUGAGAGGCAUGGGGAAAAAAGUGUUUCCUCUCUUUAUCGGGAAGAAGAAUCUUCCAGCAGACAUCCCUUCACAUCUCAUUGGCCAGAAUUGUGUCACAGGCCUAUGCCGGAUCCAGUGACAGGCAAGGGGACUGGAAUUUCCAGGGCCGAUUUAGGCAAAUCACGAUUCACUUCCUGGGGAUGGAAGAUAUGUAGCUUCCUGUGAAUCACGUGGUUAGAGUUCCGUUGGCAGGGAAGAGCAAGUCGAUGGCUGUGUCUGCUAGGAGUAAUCACGAUUAACUGCUUUCAGGUUUAAAAGCACCUUGAGCAUUCUACCUUUUUCUACUUCUCUGCUCAAAAUUGCACACAUUCUUCAAGGCUCAACUCAAAUGUCACAUUUCCCUUGAGAUUUUCCCUUAUACCUCUAGUCAGAACUUAUUACUUCUUCCUAAAUAUGCCCAGAGCCUUUGUCUCUCACACAUAACACUUUUCACAGUCUGCUUUGGGUUAAGAAAUUUGUCUUUUUGUCUUCUCUAAUUCUGAAUUCCUUGAGAGGAAGGACCACAUAUGAUUCAUGUUUAUGUGCUAAGCCCAGGGACCAGCACAUUUACUGCCGUUCCCCACAAGUUGAUCCCCAUAAGACAGAUUCACCUUGAGUCUGGGGACCAUUAUCGUUGGUUCAUCAUAUACCCAGCACCUAGGGAAGUACCUGGUGCAUGUAGGUGCCCAAAAGGUAUUUUGAAUAAAUAGUAGAAUAAUAAUAACUACCAGUCUCUACUUCUGGUCAAGGUGGAUGAGAGAAGGGGCUGGAUUUACACUUCCAUUUCAAACAGGUAAACAAAAAAACAGACAAAAUAUAUGAAACAACAGUUUCCAAGGCACUGGUCACCAGCAAUGAAGGACACUAGAAAUAAGUAAGGUGACUCCUACCAUGGUCCCAGUUUGCUUUUCUUCACAUAUUUUCCAGGGUACAAUUCAGAGAGGAGAAACUAAGAUGAAACCUGGCAGAUGCCCUGAGUUGAAAAGAGAAAGGAUAUUGGAGAGAAUUCCCCAUUCCAGUGAUACUCUACAAUGGAAGGAAAAAAGAGCCAGAGGAAAGGAUUGGGUUGAGAGGACAAGACUGAACAUAUAGGAGAGAGGAGGCAUACGGCACUGCAGAAGUUCUGAGGAGGGUGGAUUCUUUACCACUGAACCACCUGGCAAAUCCUGAUCCUGAGUCCCUGGAUCAAGCCGUACCUGACACAAACACUCAUUUCUCAAUGAGGUGAGCCAAUACACUCUAGUUUAAGUGAGACCAGUUUUUUGUUUGGAGCCAGAGAAUCCUGGCCAAGAGAGUAAGUCCAGAUUUAUCACUGGAGCCAAGCCAAGACCUGCCUUCCUAUAACUGUGUGAACCUCAUGUGAAGUCCACAAUCUAACCACCAAAGCACGCAAGAGACGAUGAUUCUCCUGUGCGUAUGAGUAUUUUCACGUGUGUGUGUGUUUGCAGCUGUGUUUGAGCAAUGCCAUUUAUUGUCAGCAUGCACACUUCUCAGACACAAAAACCUUUCUUUUUUGAAUAUCUGCAUGGCACGGACCUCAUAAGUCUCAAAGACAGCAACUUCCAAGGUAAUUACAGAGAUCUGGUGAUAACCAUAGCAACCCAGUGAUUCUGAAAUGUAAUGUCAUGCAGACCGCUGAAGCUCAGAGACCCUGAUGGCAACAGAGUACCUGCCCAGGUUGUGGGGUCUUGCAGGGCUUUUCUUUUCCUUGAACAGAAGGGCUUCUCACCACACAACACCUCCCACAAUGAUUCUUAAGGUUUUGAAUUUUUUACAGACCAGAAAAAUGUCCAAAACAAAAGUACUGACAUAAAGUUGCCAACUUUACUUUGCUAAGAACAGUUCACAAAAGAGAUAAAACAAACAACUGCCAUCUACUAUUAGCAUCAUUUCAUAAAAGAAAGGAUAUUUUCCCAUGUCUGAAAGGAGAGAAUAAAAGAGAAGCCCUUCAACAGAGCACAUUUAUCUUUAAGAGAAAUGCACGACUUUGGGGAUGCUGCGCCUCGUGGGGCACAUAUACAUGGCGAGGCUGCCCGGAUGAGGGAGGUCUGCAGGGCCUAAAGCCACUCACUCUGCCUGCCAAGGCAUGAGGCCAGCAUGGGCUGCGUCCACUCGAAUGAAGGGGCACUUUUUUACUUGACACAAAGAGUCUUCCGCUUGCCAAACUGUGUGCUGACGGGGCUGUAUCUGCCAGAAAGGGCAACCUUUUCUCAUCUGCACAAAGCACUUUUGGGGCUGGCAGUGGCUGUGCUUUAGCCAGCACUUGGCACGUAGUAGUUGCUCAAUAAACAUGUACUUACUGGAUGUUGCAGGGCUGACAGAAGUUCCAUCAAGGGCCGUUCCUGGUCUGCUUGCUGACUUCAGGGGCCAGGCAGUCCUUGGCUGUUCAGCUACAGGAAGGCGUUUCAUGUCUUUUCUCCUCUCACAGUGCCUAAAUGGACGUCAGCGGAGAGGAAGAUUACAGAAGCCUCUCCUGCUUUGUUCUUUUAGAGGACCAGAAAGAAACCAGCCUUGUUUUUUUUGUUUGUUUUUAUAAAUUCAAAUCUUUAUUGAAUUUGUUACAAUAUCGCUCCCAUUUUUUUUUUUAAUGUUUUGGUGUUUUGGCUAUGAUGCAUGUG